AGCGAACGCUGGCGGCAGGCCCAGCACAUGCAAGUCGAACGGACCCUUCGGGGUUAGUGGCGGACGGGUGAGUAACACGUGGGAACGUGCCUUUAGGUUCGGAAUAGCUCCUGGAAACGGGUGGUAAUGCCGAAUGUGCCCUUCGGGGGAAAGAUUUAUCGCCUUUAGAGCGGCCCGCGUCUGAUUAGCUAGUUGGUGAGGUAAUGGCUCACCAAGGCGACGAUCAGUAGCUGGUCUGAGAGGAUGGCCAGCCACAUUGGGACUGAGACACGGCCCAAACUCCUACGGGAGGCAGCAGUGGGGAAUCUUGCGCAAUGGGCGAAAGCCUGACGCAGCCAUGCCGCGUGGAUGAUGAAGGUCUUAGGAUUGUAAAAUCCUUUCACCGGUGAAGAUAAUGACUGUAGCCGGAGAAGAAGCCCCGGCUAACUUCGUGCCAGCCGCCGCGGUAACAC
rnacentral:rRNA from 1 species